AGAAUCCACAUUAAUUAUCCCUAGUGUCAUGGGAUAAACACAUACCUUACAAAAUAAAGUUAGCACACCCUAUAAUGGUUCUAGCACGAUUACUAACCUAUGGCUCUAAUACUAGUUGAUGGGAAAAACCU
rfam:Vitis vinifera, whole genome shotgun sequence of line PN40024, unoriented chromosome 10, chr10